AUUGAACGCUGGCGGCAUGCCUUACACAUGCAAGUCGAACGGCAGCGGGCCUUCGGGUGCCGGCGAGUGGCGAACGGGUGAGUAAUGCAUCGGAACGUGCCAUUGAGUGGGGGGAUAACGUAGCGAAAGUUACGCUAAUACCGCAUAUUCUGUGAGCAGGAAAGCAGGGGACCGCAAGGCCUUGCGCUCUUUGAGCGGCCGAUGUCAGAUUAGCUAGUUGGUGAGGUAAAGGCUUACCAAGGCGACGAUCUGUAGCGGGUCUGAGAGGAUGAUCCGCCACACUGGAACUGAGACACGGUCCAGACUCCUACGGGAGGCAGCAGUGGGGAAUUUUGGACAAUGGGCGCAAGCCUGAUCCAGCCAUGCCGCGUGAGUGAAGAAGGCCU
rnacentral:rRNA from 1 species